rnacentral:lncRNA from 10 species
UGCACUCCAGCCUGAGUGACAAAGCGAGACUCCGUCUCAAAAUAAAUAAAUAAAUAAAAUAAAGUAGCUCCUGCCCCCCACCCCCUAUUUUAUAUCAUCCGUUCUAGGUGCUUCACAGAUCUUACCACUGUUCUGUUUAUGCAGUGGCUUACUAGCUUAUUGUCUGUCUUCCUACACUGGAAUGUAAGCUCUUUCAAGACGGAUCUUGAUUUCUUGUUUUCUUUUGGGAUCCACAGUGCAUAGACCAGUGCCAGCAAAUAGUAGAUAUCUGUGGAAUGAAUGAAUGAAUGAACCCAGCCCUGGAUGGGCAUUACCUAACGGUGUCCUUUACUUAUUAACACGUGUGUGUUUUGUCUACACAGCCUGAUCAUAAGUCAUGCUAGGGCAAGGACUGCCCUCCUGGGAAAUUUGAAGACCUUCUGGCCAAUGAAUGAGGUGUAAUUUCUCAGAAUAAUUUUACUCUCUGAUGAAAGGAGGGAAUAAGGUAACGAGAUGUUCCCUCCCUCCCUUCUCACAUUGGACCUUGUGUGAGGACGGGACACUGGAGCUGCUGUGGCCACCUGGACCAAGAGAAUCAAGGAGGAGCUGACCCAAACCCUGAUGCUGCAAAGCCAUUGGCCAGCGCUGGCAUUGUCCGCCUCUGGAGUCCUUGUUACAAGAGAAUUAUAAACUCCUGUUGUUGAGACUUUGAGACCCCAUGGCGGAGACGGAGGGUCCUUCCACUGCAGCACAAAGUGGGGCACUUGCAGUCACAUCGCCUGUGUUCACGGUGGAGCGGAUCUACUGCCCUUGUAGGGCUGAUGCAUUGCAAGGGGCUGAACCUCCUGCACUGUCUCCUCUUGGUGUAAAUAAACACUGUGCCACCUGAGCCUGAUGUGUGUGUUGUCUGUCCUCAGUGACCUUGAGUCAUGCACUGGUCUCUUCCCUGGGAGGCACGUAUCUGCCUUUUGACCUUGGCUGCACAGCCUGGACACCCAGCGAAUGGUGAAACAAUCUCCGUGUUUUGCACCUUUUACUGUGGCAGCCAGUGCCUCCAAUUCCUGAGCUUUGCUGGGACUUUGUAGGGCAUUAGCUGUUUCUCCUCAGCAGAGUCAUGCAUGCUUAACCACUGGGAUAUGUUCUGAGAAAUGCAUCGUUAGGUGACUUCAUUGUUGUGUGAACAUCGUAGAAUGCACUCACACAAACCUAAAUGGUAUAGCUUGCUACACACCUACGCUAUAUGGUGUAGUCUAUUGCUCCUAGACUACAAAGCUGUACAGCAUGUUACUGUACUGAACGUUGUAGGCAGUUGUAACACAAAUGGUAAGAAUUUGUGGUAUCUAAACAAACUUAAAUAUAGAAAACAGUAAAAUCACAGUAUAAAAGAUAGAAAAUGGAAUGUGUAUAUAGGGCACUUACCAUGAAUGGAGCUUGCAGGACUGGAGGCUGCUGUGGGUGAGUGGGGAGUGAACAUGAAUGGCUAGGACAUUACUGUAUACUUUUAUACAACUGGCAGCACAGUAGGUUCGUUUACACCAGCCAGCGUCACCAUAAUCUCGCGAGUAAUGUGUCACACUACAAUGUUACAAUGGCUAUGACCUCCUUAGGUGAUAGAACACUUUCAGCUCCAUUAUACAGAAUCUUCCGGGACCACGCUGUACAUACGGCCCAUUGUUGACCGUUAUGUGGGGCGUGACUGGCUUCCCUCCUGGAGACAUUCACCACUGUACUUCUCCCAGUGUUGGUCUCAUUGUUCUUGGCUCUGCCAUGUCAACUGCCAUCC